UACGUAGGUGGCAAGCGUUGUCCGGAUUUACUGGGCGUAAAGAGCGCGCAGGCGGUCGUUCAAGUCGCGUGUGAAAGCCCCCGGCUCAACUGGGGAGGGUCACGCGAUACUGAUCGACUCGAAGGCAGGAGAGGGAAGUGGAAUUCCCGGUGUAGUGGUGAAAUGCGUAGAUAUCGGGAGGAACACCGGUGGCGAAGGCGGCAUCCUGGACCAACACUGACGCUGAGUGAGCGAAAGCCAGGGGAGCAAACGGG
rnacentral:rRNA from 1 species